AACCCCUUUCCUCUAUAUUUGCCCCACCCAUAACGAAAAACACCGAAAAAAUGGAUUAGUAAUUCUCUAUUCAAUCUCUACUAGAUCUGAGCUCUUCCAAAAUUCUAGAAUUAAAGCAAUCAAAGAAGAAGAGAUUUUGGGAGUGAAUUCUAAAGAGAGAAAGAAUGGAAAUGAGAGCGUUUGUGUGUUUUGGAAGGGGAGUUUGGUCAGUUAGUUUACAACUUCAAGGUGGGGUUUAUCCUGUGCAGUCGUACGGCGUACCAUUCCAUUUAAAUUUUGAAUAGUUGUGUGUCGCGACCAGAUUGAAAAAUAACCCCGUUUCCGGUGUUUUUCAGAUCUUUGGCGGUGUUGGUUCGAUCUUGUUCUGGUCGUCACAUUCUGGGUUCAAUUGAUGAGCUCUGUUCUGGCUCCGGUGCUUUAGAUCUGAGGUCUUAUCCUGUCGAUCCGUGUGCUUGUGCAAACUGGGUUUCAUGUUUUAAUUUGUUUAUCUUUGUCAUGACUAGAUUUGGGAGUCUUGUGCUGAUUUAUUGCGGUUCUAUUGCAUUUCCCCUUCAAUAAUUAGUUUGGGUGUUCUUAUUUGAUUUGUUUGUUUUUCGUUCUAAUAGAUUUUUUCAUUUUGGUGUAAUAAUUGGUGUUUAUUAUUGAAAAUCAUUUCUUGAUUUGAUCUUUGAUUGUUUGGGUUGAUUGGUUGGAUUCAGGUGAUUAAUUGCUAUGUUCUUUUAUCUCCUCCUUGUUUCUGGGUGUGGUAGUUGUUAAUGCUAUUUUGGAUCUGGGCUAAUUUUGUCGUGGGCAGCCAUGAUGGCUCAUUGUUCU
rnacentral:lncRNA from 1 species